rnacentral:rRNA from 1 species
UUCACAAUGGGCGCAAGCCUGAUGGAGCAACACCGCGUGAGUGAAGAAGGGUUUCGGCUCGUAAAGCUCUGUUGUUAAAGAAGAACACGUAUGAGAGUAACUGUUCAUACGUUGACGGUAUUUAACCAGAAAGUCACGGCUAACUACGUGCCAGCAGCCGCGGUAAUACGUAGGUGGCAAGCGUUAUCCGGAUUUAUUGGGCGUAAAGAGAGUGCAGGCGGUUUUCUAAGUCUGAUGUGAAAGCCUUCGGCUUAACCGGAGAAGUGCAUCGGAAACUGGAUAACUUGAGUGCAGAAGAGGGUAGUGGAACUCCAUGUGUAGCGGUGGAAUGCGUAGAUAUAUGGAAGAACACCAGUGGCGAAGGCGGCUACCUGGUCUGCAACUGACGCUGAGACUCGAAAGCAUGGGUAGCGAACAGGAUUAGAUACCCUGGUAG